GCCUGCGUGUUUGACAGCUAGCUCUAGCCAAUCACCGUCGCGAUAAGACGUUCUAGAAACAACGCUUAGCGACAAAGUGCCGCAGAAAGUCGACAUUCCUGUGUGCGCGCGUGUGUUAUAAACACACGUGAACUGAUCUAACCUGACCGACCGCGCAGCAGUAACUAAGGGUGGGCCGUGGCCAUCACUAUGAAAUGGGAUACACAGAUAAAACGUAGACUAAGCACGUAAGUGGUGCAAACCGCGUACGGAGAGCCGCGGAGUAUUGCAGACCAAAUUAGCAGCUACUGUCUGUUGCAAAAUACACGGACUGCCACGUACUCACACGGAUUAACGACGGACUAACCGCGGACUGCAAACGGACUGCCUGUCAACAAUUGCCUAAAUGAUAAAUAACACAGAAGCUCGAGGUUAGGUAAUUAUUAACAGGCAGUCCGUUUGCAGUCCGUCGUUAAUCCGUGUGUGUACGUGGCAGUCCGUGUAUUUUGCAACGGACUGCAAGUAGCUGCUAAUUUGGUCCGCAAUACUCCGCGACUCUCCGUACGCGGUGUGCAGCAUUUACGUGCUUAGUCUGCGUUUUAUCUGUGUAUCCCACUUCAUAGUGAUGGCCACGGCCCACCCUUAGUUACUGCUGCGCGGUCGGUCAGGUUAGAUCAGUUCACGUGUGUUUAUAACACACGCGCGCACACAGGAAUGUCGACCUGUUGCACUUCGUAGCCGAGCGUUGUUUUUAGAACGUCAUGUCGCGACGGUGAUUGGCCAGAGCUGCCUAACCGGUCGUGCCGGGCGGACAGGUCGUUUACGUUCACUUGUUUACGUGUCUACGUUCACUU